UAACACACCUCAUAGAAUGCCGACGGGGAGCUGAGGUUUUGUGUACCGUUGAAACAACUGCUGAAUUACGAAAAUGCCCUUUUUAAUGAUAGACAUCCUAGGAGACGUCAAAGACACCAUCAAGGACGGUGACGUGUUCUUCAACACUUUAAUGGUGUUUUGGACGUCGUCAAAGGACGGUGACGCAUUCUUCAACACUUUAUUGGUGUUUUGGGGCUGUCUGCUAUAACUUUUUUCCUCUUACUUCUUCUUCACAACUUCCACGAAAAAAAACAUUAAGAAACCUCUUAUUUUUUCAAUUUUUUGGCCAAAACUCAACCAACAUUCGUGAUUUUUGUUGCAAUCUUCAAGAAAUCAUCAAAUAUGCACUACAUUGGAAGAUUUACACACUUAAAUCACAUAUUUUGGGUCGAUUUCAAAACCCCCAAAAACUAGGGUUUCAAUUUUUUUUAUUUAUUUUCGGGUUUUGCUUCAAGUUUCUGUUUCCUCUUCAGUAGAAACACUAUCUUGACAAGAUGCUAGCAAAGAGGUCAAGAGUAGCACCAAUAAGCAGUUCAGCAGGAAACAGAUGACUUGUGAGGCCAGUCAGACAGUUGGAGCCAAAUAUACAUGUGACUUUUAACCCAUGGUAUCAUACACUUCAUGAGAAUCAAGAUGACAUCUGCCCAGCAGUUUAUGAGGCCACUCACCCGCUUACUUUAUUUAUAGUGGAGCACAUGGUGGAGUGAUACAACUUUGUUGGGUACGAUAUCGUGGAGACAUUUGACUGUUAUGGAUGGGGUGGAGCUCUAAACUUCAACCCCACACAUGUUUAUGUUGAUAUCGUAUGGGAAUGGAUGGGGUCACUUCGACGUAUCGAGAUACCUGAUAGGUCGGAGGAGCUACAGUUGAUUGGUUGGUUCGAACACAUGACAUAAUGUUGACUAUAUAGGGCAUUCGAGACAUGUUUCAUGUAGAUACUGGAUAUCAUCUGCAUGAUCCUGAGAACCAACCAACCGACUAAAAAUGUGUGGAUAUGAGGGGGUAACCAUGGGAUUAUCAUGGAAGAUUUGUACCGCACGGUAUUCUGCGAGGGGACGAGAGCAUAUGAUAGGUUUCGUGAUUUGGUGCCUUUAGCAAAGGAAUUGCAAAGGAUCAUCAUGGAUAAUGUGAACCUGAGGAGUAGCGAUCCCAGGGCGGUGAGGAUACAUGAUUUAUAUGUCUUGUACGGGUUGAUGAUGGGCUCCAUCUUUAUCUCUUAUGCAUAUAAUGAUAUGUGCAACAUAUGCUCCUCGUUUGAUAUCCAGAACAAAGUCACCACCCCCAUGUUGCCCUGAUAUCGACAUAUAUGACUAGGGAGUUGGGAGUUGGGGAAUAGGAUCUGGGUCCCGCGAGCUACAUCAUACCACCGUAUUCUUUUCCCUAUUGCUACUUCUUUUAGACACAUCUCAUUACAUAUUAUAAAUAGGAGACGUAGUCUGAUGGACUAUGCCAUAAAUAUGACUUACACAUCCCCACUUAGUGUGGGGGAUGAGGAGCCAUUUGCUAGAGAUUUUCAUGGAGAUCAACCACAGCAACAUGGACAUGCAGCAGGAUAGGGCUUGAACAUGCAAGCAGCAUGGGAGGACAUUAUAGGGAGGAAAAACACGCAUAGCCAGGAGGUGCAAACUUGGAUGGAGAGGAAAAAUAUGUGGAUGGAGGGUGUUGACACGACAAUAGCUAAUCUUACCAAAUAGAUACGACAUACUGGCAUUCCAGCUAACAAAACUUAUAGUGUUGCAACUUAUCAGUUGUACCAGCAGGAGUAAUAUGCGGAUGCAGCCUACAGACGCAGUCGUCUACAACAUGACCUGAUGGACAUUGAUUUGCCACAACAUCGAUCUCGAGCUCCAGCACUGGUUUCUAUCGAUCUGAGACCCGGGUGAGUAUCCUUCACCAUCGGAGUACGAGCAUUAACAUCCACCACCAGCUACAAAAUACAACUUUCGAUUUGAUGAUUUAGUUGGAUCGAUUUUUGGGUAUCCUCUACCAUACCCACGAUAUCCCCCACAACCUCCUCCACAAUAAACCUUGGUGACAUCCUUCUUUAAUUUUUGUUUUUAUGGUUGUGUGAUUAAGACAUUUUCCUUUUAUUUUUCUAUUUUUAUUUUUAUGUUUUUAUUUGGGAUGAAUGUACUGCUAUCUUAAACUCAUAUAUUAUUAUCGUUCUCUCUUGUGUUGGUUCUAUGAAAUCUGUGAUGAGUUAGUAGCU